ACACAUGUUUGUCAUGGUUUACAAACUGAAAAUAGAAUGAUUUGUGAAGUUGAACAUUUUCUCACAAAGAAUCCGUUUGUAGACAUGCACACUCAUUUAAUCUGGAGCUACGAAGAUUCAAGUACUUUGUCACUUCUCUGGAACAUUAUUCUAAGCAGAAUUAUCCCGAUUCAUAUAUUCUAAGAAUCUUGUGUGAAUUGUUUACGAGGAAAUUCUGACUGUCACAUUAACAAGGAUGAACACUCUUGACUCUGCUUCGGAUUCCCCAGUGAUAAUUGUAUCGAGUGAUGAAAGAGCUGACGGCGACAUUUUAAUGUAUGAUUGGCUUGGACCAUUGGAAUGAAGUCAUUUCAUGGUGCCACCACUUGAGAUGGUAUUAGCUGCAAAUAUAGACUUGUACUCAGCACUUAUUGCCUUUAAGGUAUGAGAUCCAUUUUGUGCUAACACCUACCGUGACACAGAAUCUUGGUUUAUGCAGUCUCAUAGGAGUAACCUGUCUAAAGCAUUUAGCAAUGGGAUUGGAACCUGCGACGUGUGACUCAUCUGAAGACUGAAUUUUGAUACCAAGCAUGACCAUGAUUUGCCAGAAGAUCAUCUGUUUGGAUGUGACAUGGAAUAAACAGCAUUGUGAAAAUAAGUCAAGUUUUGGUUUGUGAAGACAAUUUUUAAACACACUGUGUAUCAUUUUUAAAUUUUGAUUUGACAACAUAAAUCCCCAAAUAUGAACAUAUCAAUUGCUCUCAGUUUUUCAAGUGAAAUAGUUUUUGUAACAGAAAUACAUGUACCAGUAAUUACAUUGGAAUAAAUGUUAUUUUUAAAUAUAAUAAUAUUUUGUUUGUGUAGCAUGUUGACCUCUUUAUUAAGGUCUUCCCUUUCAAAGUUUAGACUUACUUAUUCUAAUGAUUAAGAUAGAUCCUCUGUCUUCAGCAGGAAUAGAAGAUCUUGUAAUA